rnacentral:rRNA from 1 species
GAACGGCAGUCUAGUAUAAGCAUUAUACCGUGAAACUGCGAAUGGCUCAUUAAAUCAGUUAUCGUUUAUUUGAUAGUACCUUACUACAUGGAUAACCGUGGUAAUUCUAGAGCUAAUACAUGCUGAAAACCCCAACUUCGGGAGGGGUGUAUUUAUUAGAUAAAAAACCAACGCCCUUCGGGGCUCCUUGGUGAUUCAUAAUAACUUUACGGAUCGCAUGGCCUUGCGCCGGCGACGGUUCAUUCAAAUUUCUGCCCUAUCAACUUUCGAUGGUAAGGUAUUGGCUUACCAUGGUUUCAACGGGAAUGGGGGAAUAAAAC